rnacentral:rRNA from 1 species
UACAGAGGAGCCAAGCGUUGUCCGGAUUUACUGGGCGGAAAGAGCGCGCAGGCGGUCGUUCAAGUCGCGUGUGAAAGCCCCCGGCUCAACUGGGGAGGGUCACGCGAUACUGAUCGACUCGAAGGCAGGAGAGGGAAGUGGAAUUCCCGGUGUAGUGGUGAAAUGCGUAGAUAUCGGGAGGAACACCAGUGGCGAAGGCGACUUCCUGGCCUGUUCUUGACGCUGAGGCGCGAAAGCUAGGGGAGCAAACGGG